CAGCCGCCGCGGGAAUACGGAGGGUGCAAGCGUUAAUCGGAAUUACUGGGCGUAAAGCGCACGCAGGCGGUUUGUUAAGUCAGAUGUGAAAUCCCCGAGCUUAACUUGGGAACUGCAUUUGAAACUGGCAAGCUAGAGUCUUGUAGAGGGGGGUAGAAUUCCAGGUGUAGCGGUGAAAUGCGUAGAGAUCUGGAGGAAUACCGGUGGCGAAGGCGGCCCCCUGGACAAAGACUGACGCUCAGGUGCGAAAGCGUGGGGAGCAAACAGGAUUAGAUACCCGAGUAGUCCCUGUCUCUUAUAC
rnacentral:rRNA from 1 species